rnacentral:pre_miRNA from 1 species
AACUUUCUGAAUCCGUGUCGAGAUUUCGGUAAAUACCAACCCACCAGGACUGGUGAAACUUUUAAACUAAGUGAAGUA